rnacentral:rRNA from 1 species
UACAGAGGUCUCAAGCGUUGUUCGGAUUCAUUGGGCGUAAAGGGUGUGUAGGUGGCGCGCUAAGUCGGGUGUGAAAUUUUGGAGCUUAACUCCGAAACUGCAUUCGAUACUGGCGUGCUUGAGGACUGGAGAGGAGACUGGAAUUCAUGGUGUAGCAGUGAAAUGCGUAGAGAUCAUGAGGAAGACCAGUGGCGAAGGCGGGUCUCUGGACAGUUCCUGACACUGAGACACGAAGGCCCAGGGGGAGCAAAACGGGG